rnacentral:rRNA from 1 species
AAGUAAACGCUGGCGGCGUGCCUAUACAUGCAAGUCGAGCGGACAGAUGGGAGCUUGCUCCCUGAUGUUAGCGGCGGACGGGUGAGUAACACGUGGGUAACCUGCCUGUAAGACUGGGAUAACUCCGGGAAACCGGGGCUAAUACCGGAUGGUUGUUUGAACCGCAUGGUUCAAACAUAAAAGGUGGCUUCGGCUACCACUUACAGAUGGACCCGCGGCGCAUUAGCUAGUUGGUGAGGUAACGGCUCACCAAGGCAACGAUGCGUAGCCGACCUGAGAGGGUGAUCGGCCACACUGGGACUGAGACACGGCCCAGACUCCUACGGGAGGCAGCAGUAGGGAAUCUUCCGCAAUGGACGAAAGUCUGACGGAGCAACGCCGCGUGAGUGAUGAAGGUUUUCGGAUCGUAAAGCUCUGUUGUUAGGGAAGAACAAGUACCGUUCGAAUAGGGCGGUACCUUGACGGUACCUAACCAAAAAGCCACGGCUAACUACGUGCCAGCAGCCGCGGUAAUACGUAGGUGGCAAGCGUUGUCCGGAAUUAUUGGGCGUAAAGGGCUCGCAGGCGGUUUCUUAAGUCUGAUGUGAAAGCCCCCGGCUCAACCGUCGAGGGUCAUUGGAGACUGGGGAACUUGAGUGCAGAAUAGGGGAGUGGAAUUCCACGUGUAUCGGUGAAAUGCGUAUAGAUGUGGGAAGAACACCGGUGUCUAAAGCGGACUCU